UACGUAGGGUGCGAGCGUUGUCCGGAAUUAUUGGGCGUAAAGAGCUUGUAGGCGGUUUGUCGCGUCUGCCGUGAAAGCCCAGGGCUUAACCCUGAGCCUGCAGUGGGUACGGGCAGACUAGAGUGCGGUAGGGGAGAUUGGAAUUCCUGGUGUAGCGGUGGAAUGCGCAGAUAUCAGGAGGAACACCGAUGGCGAAGGCAGAUCUCUGGGCCGUAACUGACGCUGAGGAGCGAAAGCGUGGGGAGCGAACAGG
rnacentral:rRNA from 1 species